rnacentral:rRNA from 1 species
AGGUGGAUCCCGCCUGCCGAAGUUGCUUGGAACAGCACAUCAGAGAGGGUGACAAUCCCGUAUGCGGCAGUUGGGACCACUCACGAGACGCUUUCCAUGAGUCGGGUUGCUUGGGAAUGCAGCCCAAAAUUGGUGGUAGACUCCAUCUAAAGCUGAAUAUUGGCACGAGACCGAUAGCGAACAAGUACCGUGAGGGAAAGAUGAAAAGAACUUUGAAAAGAGAGUUAAAAAGUGCGUGAAACCGUUAGAGGGGAAGCGGAUGAAGUUAGCAAUGCUCUUGGGAGAUUCAGGUGGCUGGUGGGCUUGACGUGUAGUUUGCGGAUCCGAACGGACUGUUGCUGCACGGCCGGGUCCUCCACCCGCCGCACUUCUCGCAGGAGUGCGUCAACAGCUGCUGGACCGCUACAGGCUAAACGGCGUCUGUGGAAGGUAGGUGUAUGGCUAGCUCCAUAUACUGUUAUAGCCACUAGUGUCCCAGCCUGAGUCUGGCAGAGGCGAGCGGUGCAUGCCUCGCGCAUUCGUGCCGGGGCUGGCGCCCUGUUCCGCACUUGUAGCCACCCGGGCUGCACUGCAUGCAGUUCAGUCUGGGGAGCGAAAAGGCGUGCAGUAAGCGCACACACACACACAUCUGUUUGCACCAUGGUUGUUGGCGGCCAUAUGGCUUCUUCCGACCCGUCUUGAAACACGGACCAAGGAGUCUAACAUGUGCGCGAGUCUUGGGGUGACCGAAACCCAGAGGCACAAUGAAA